rnacentral:rRNA from 1 species
GACGAACGCUGGCGGCGUGCUUAACACAUGCAAGUCGAACGGAAAGGCCCCUUUGGGGGUACUCGAGUGGCGAACGGGUGAGUAACACGUGAGUAACCUGCCCUUGACUUCGGGAUAACUUCAGGAAACUGGGGCUAAUACCGGAUAGGAAUCCUUGCUGCAUGGUGGGGGUUGGAAAGCUUCGGCGGUUUUGGAUGGACUCGCGGCUUAUCAGCUUGUUGGUGGGGUAGUGGCUUACCAAGGCUUUGACGGGUAGCCGGCCUGAGAGGGCGACCGGCCACAUUGGGACUGAGAUACGGCCCAGACUCCUACGGGGGGCAGCAGUGGGGAAUAUUGCACAAUGGGCGGGAGCCUGAUGCAGCAACGCCGCGGGCGGGAUGACGGCCUUCGGGUUGUAAACCGCUUUCAGCAGGGGCGAAGCUUGUGGUGACGGUACCUGCAGAAGAAGCACCGGCUAACUACGUG